GCGACGUGAAUGAGCGAGCAAUAAUGCCCGUAUUUCUCGCAGGCAGCGAAGCUGGCCUUUUGCAUUCAUUUUCGUCCAAAGAUAGAGCCCAGCACAGCCCAGGCCAGGCAUUGAUGCCCUCCACGCAGGCGUUGCAUUCAUGCCGCACGCUAUCAAGACGACUAUACUCCUACUCUACCACUCACUGGCAGCAGAUAGAAAGUUAAAGGGCG
rnacentral:lncRNA from 1 species